rnacentral:rRNA from 1 species
CCUACGGGAGGCAGCAGUGGGGAAUAUUGCACAAUGGGGGGAACCCUGAUGCAGCGACGCCGCGUGAGUGAAGAAGUACUUCGGUAUGUAAAGCUCUAUCAGCAGGGAAGAAAAUUACGGUACCUGACUAAGAAGCUCCGGCCAACUACGUGCCAGCAGCCGCGGUAAUACGUAGGGGGCAAGCGUUAUCCGGAUUUACUGGGUGUAAAGGGAGCGUAGACGGUUAUGCAAGUCUGAAGGGAAAGCCCCAGGCUCAAACAUGGGACUGCUUUGGAAACUGUAAAACUGGAGUGCAGGAGAGGUAAGCGGAAUUCCUAGUGUAGCGGUGAAAUGCGUAGAUAUUAGGAGGAACACCAGUGGCGAAGGCAGCUUACUGGACUGUAACUGACGUUGAGGCUCGAAGGCGUGGGGAGCAAACAGGAUUAGAUACCCGUGUAGUC